ACUAUGUGAUUAAUUUGCUGAUCUUAAAUCAAAUAUUUAAACGUGACAGAAACAGUCAAAACUAAUAGCUCAUUCAGAAGUGCAACACCUUCAAAUUGCAAAGUAAUGGUCAUACAUUUUUUGUAGAGAUCUAAUCAUUGAAACAUACAUAAGAAUGCAUCAAAUGAACUCUAGGGAGAUAUCAGGAUAAGACAAGCGCGAGAACAAUAGCACCAUGGAGAAUUUUAGAAAACGGAGUCCCAGGAACAACUCUCAGGCUGAAUUGAUGAUCAAAAUGAAGAUCUGCACAUUGUCUGGUCAAGCAAGUCAUCUAGUUGACAAUAAUUUCAUCUACCAAUUGGACCAGAAAGUCAACUUCAGUAUUAACCUCAUACUAGCUAAACUGACAAAACACCUGUAGGUUUAUUAUUUGCACUAGUAAACAAACCUCGGUUAAUCUUCCAGACCUCAUUUUCUUAUUAAUGAAACUCACAUGUUUCACAGAAGCUAAUAAGACGAAUGUUUCAUUAAUAAAAUGCCAAAAUCUGUAAUAGACAAAUUAAAAAAGCAAGCACCACCAAGGCAAUGAGAUGCUUCAAUAUCUAUAUCCCCGUUAAUUGCUGUCUUCAUAAUGACAAAAAUAAUAAUCAUAAUAAUAACAACAAUAAGAUUCCCAAACAAAAGAAAACAAUUAUUACCAGAAAAUAUAGCAGCAAGAUCUGCAUAAAGUUGCACUCAGAGAAUAGCUCAGGAAACCCUCAUUUAUCCAUUUCAGCUGCCAGCAGUAAACAGACUACAUUAAACAGUUGCCAAUAUAAAAGAACAGCCAUUCAAAACAAAGUUCCUAGCAAAUAUGUAAAGAACAACACAAAAAUAAAAUGACAAUGCUCAUGACAGCAAUAAAUUAGUGACUAAUGCCCUUCUUUGCUUUAAGUGAUUCAAGAGCCUUCUUCCUCAACUCAGUCUCAAGUUUUUUCUGCUCAGAAUGUGUAUCUUCACCAUCACUUGGAUCUCUUCUCCCAGCAAGUUCAUCAUCAGAAGAAUUAACAUCAUUUAGAUCCUUCAACUUGAGCUUCUCUGCAUGGUGUUUUUUCCUUCUACGACGUCGCUCCUCACGCCGCCGAUAUUUUUCCUCUUUUCGCAGUUUCUUUUCUUCCUUGCUCCUCCUCUUAGCCUCUUUCCUUUCUUCAUAUUCAGAAUCAUAGCUGUAAUUAUCAUCUGAAGCCAUUUCUUCUCUAUAUGAUCUUUUAUGCUUUCGCCUUUCCUUAUUCUCAGUUCUGCGCUGGUCACUUUCCUCAGAACCAGAAUCAAAUGCACCAACACCACCAUUACUAUGAUCAGCUUUUUCGACUGAUAUUUGUGUAGUUUCUGACUUACGUUGCCUAUCACUGUCCUUAACCUUGUUUGAAUUUGAAUGGUUUCUCUCAUCAGAGUUUUUACCCUCUCCCACAAAAGGCAUUUGCCUCUUCCCCAGCAAAUGGUCCUCAUAUGCAGUUGGAGAUUUCUGCCCUUCAGGAGUUUCAGGAUAAGCCCCCUUCCGAGAACACUUUUCAAUCUUUAUUUCCUUGUCUUUCUUCCUUGAUUCCGCAAUAUCAAGACGGCUCUGAGAUUUAGUAAGUCGAUGACCCGCCACUCUUUCAGAAGAGUGCUCAUCCUUCAAAUGGAUCUCCACAGGAGAAUCUUUCUGCUUACUGGUGAUGGAUGAAAGCAUAGAACAUUUCUGUGAAGACCUGGAUUUAUAAUCCCGAGCAUGAUCAGUAUCUUCAUCCUCUUUGCUAGAUGGACUUUCUUGAUAAGGUUUCUGCUCUUUUGGCUUCUGUGGAGGGCUUAAGCUGUUAUCAUAUGUAAUUUGCCCCCUUCUUUGCCUCACAGGGCUCCUAGAUGAACUAGAAGACCUAUUUCUUCUCCCUUUUCUUUGCCUCGCAAGGCUCACAUAUGGAUGAGUUGACCUUCUGUCCUCACUAGAAAUCCUAUUCCUAGUAGGUGGUGGAGAAUCUGACCGAACUGAAGACAUCUCUGGUGAAGGCGACAAAGAUGGUGAUUUAUCAUGCAAAUCCUUCUGAUUCUUUGAAUAUCUUGGCGGUGACCUCAAAGAACUAAUGGAUCGACGCAGCACAGGGGAUAAUUUUUCCCGCACACUAACUCUUUCCCCAACAGAUCGCACAGGUGACCUCCUACGUUCCUUUGAAGAAUUCCUUACAGGUAAAGGAGACCUAUACUGGACAGGAGGAGAAAUUGAUCCAUAAGGUGAAGGAGACCUUCGACGGGUAGGAAUUGGUGAUCUCCUACAGGCAGGAAUAGAUGACCUAUGUCUUGGAUAUGGAGACCGACGAUAAGGAGUUGAUGGAGAUCUCCGAUACCUAGAGCGAUAGGGAGAGGGUGAUCUACGUCGUAUGGGACGCGAUCUACGCCGAGGAGGUGGGGGUGAUCUAUGCUGCACAGGCGAGGGUAAUCUACGCCGCACAGGAGAGGGUGAUCUCCGUCGAAAGGGCAACGGUGAUCUUCGGCACCCAAGAGGUGAAGGAGAUCUACGGCGUCGAGUGGGUGAGGGUGAUCUAUGACGACGAAUGGGUGAGGGUGAUCCGCGACCCCGAAUAGAUGAGGACGAUCGACGACGCCAAAUGGGUGAGGGUGAUCCGUGACCCCGAAUAGAUGAGGGCGAUCGACGACGACGAAUUGGUGAGGGUGAUCUACGUCGAAAUGGAGAGUGCAAUCUACGUCCUCCUGGAGAAGGCAAUCUGCAGCGUGAAGAUGAUCUUGAUCUUUGCCUAGAAUACAAUGAUCUCCUUCUUGAAGGUGAAAGGGAGACCCGAGAUGAAUACCUCCAAUGAGGUGUAAUAGACCUUUUUCCUGGAGAGCGGUAGACAAUAUCCAAAGAAACAGAUUUCCUUUGUGCUUCUGGUGAUCUAGACAGAUUCCUGGACUUGUGCCGGUCGCUAAAAUAUUUAUAAACCGUAUAAGAUGCUACAAUUUAAAAGAUAAAGAAAGAAACAGAUAAUUAACAAACAUCCAUGUUAUUCCUGCAAUCUCUUAUUGAAUGUGAUGUUUAAAAAAUUUGGUACAUGCUCACAAGAAUGCACACACAACCCCAGUACUACAAUCAAAAUAAAUAAGUUAAUAAAUAAAACUGCUAGCAAACAGAAAUGAAUAGCAACAAUAACUUCUUGGACUUAAAUAAAUAAAUCACUGCUGAAGCACAUAUGACAUACCCUGAAUAACUUCUUGAAUUUGAAAAUGACCUGCUGUUCUGAGAAGGUGAACCCCGAGCAGAUGAAGAAGAACGAUCAGAAGAAAGGGGAGAUAUAGAAAACCUGUUUCUUCCUGUCCCAACAUUCCUAUUGUCAGUUCCUUUAUCAUCCUCAGGAUCACCACUAGAACCCUUUGCCAUAUGCUUUGAGGCUGGCUCCACACCAGCAACAUUGGCCUUUGUUUCAGCCCCACCAUCCUACAGUAGUUUGAGGUAAAGGACAUGAACCCAAAUAAUUGCAGAAGCUAGCUGAAUGCCAUGAAAACACAAACUAAGUUAAAAACAAAAACUCAACUCUAGGGAAUCUAACUCCUGCAUGAAUAACUUAGUCUUACCAUCUUCUUUGAUCUCUCCUGCUCAAAUUCUUCACCCUCCAUCUCUUUCUUUUUCUGAAUUUCAUUUGUUAUCCUAUCCACCUCUGCCUGCUUCUUCCGGGUUUCCUCUUCUUUCGCAUCCAAGAAUUGCUGAGGAACACCACUUUCAUUCUUCUGAGCACUGAGAAGAAGUGUCCAAAGCUCCUUCAUAAACUUUCCAGUGUUUUUCUCCAUAAAUCCUGUAAGUGAUAUUUGAACCUCCUUUCCAUUCACUUCCUGGAUUAGAAUUAAAUACACACAACCGUCAACCAACUAGGCCAUAUUGUGAACUAAAAAAGUGCAGAAACCCAACCAUAUUGUGAGCUAAAAAAGUGCAAAAACCCAAGCAAAUUCCUGUCAAUAGACCAUGAGACUAGAUCAUCAUUCCUUAGCUCGAAAUCUGGGAGUGGUGGGGUUUGCUAUGCCAAUUAAGUCAAUUCCUAAAGGCAAGUAUGCGUACAACUUAUUAGUAUAGACCCACAAAAGAAUAGGGUUUCAUAUUCAAACAAAUAAAGGGAAACAUGCAUCAUUUCUUAUCUUAAAACCAAAAUGAGUACAGUUGAAUGCUGAAUUUCAAUACCUUUGCAUCAAGGAGACCAUAAAUAAAGUUGAUAAGAACUUCAUCUUCAAACCCAAUAAGCUCUGUCACCCUAUUAGCAAUCCAUGGUCUAAUAAUAUCCAUCUUCACUUUCCUCAUAUCGACCAGAUGUUCCAAUUCAGGAGCGAACUUCUGCGAUUUCAACAACUUGGCUUGCUUGUUCGAGAAUCGAGUGUCUUGAUCAGCAGAAGUACCCCGGAAAAACCCGCCCGACAUUUUUAAGGGUUUUGAUGAAGGACGAUGUGAAAUAAGGUAAAAUCCGUGUGCGAUUCUGCGAUAAGAGGGAGAGUCGCAGUGCGAGAGCUGAGAGGUAUAUUUGGGAAAUGAACUUGGAGAUUAAGCUACUCUCUCUGGAUUCUCUGGUUGCGCCUCGGCACGUGUCAGGACUAAAG
rnacentral:misc_RNA from 1 species